CUUGAGAAAAGUUCAGUUUGGAGGCACCACUGAUGAAAAAAGUUCACUGGGGAAUAACCAACGAAUGCAAGAAUCUAUUUCAAUAUUGCACAAAAAGGAAAAGGCAUUGCAAGAGGAGAACAGGCAGUUAGCAAAUAAGAAUGAUUGAAGUUAUAUCGGGUUGAAAGCUGAGCAAUUGUGUAGAUAGCCAGGCGAUCAUUGAAGGUUGAAGAUUGAAGAUUGAAG